rnacentral:ncRNA from 1 species
AAGUGAGCUGGGUUUAGACCGUCGUGAGACAGGUUAGUUUUACCCUACUGAUAAAGUGUUGUUGCAAUAGUAAUUCUGCUCAGUACGAGAGGAACCGCAGAUUCAGACAAUUGGCAUUUGCACUUGGCUGAAAAGCCAAUGGUGCGAAGCUACCAUCUGUUGGAUUAUGACUGAACGCCUCUAAGUCAGAAUCCUUGCUAGGACGCAACGAUAAUUACCUCCGGAGAAUCUUAGGCGAACAAGGAUAGAGAACGGGCUUGCCCGCUCUCCUGCGUCCCAAUGUGCCAAGAGGGAAAACAACCCUCAAGGCACUAAAGUAUAUCAAAGUUUAAAAUUUCUGGAGAUAAAUCCUUUGCAGACGACUUAAAUAAAGAACGGGGUAUUGUACGUUGUUGAGUAGCCUUGUUGCUACGAUCUUCUGAGAUUAAGCCUUUGUUCUACGAUUUGU